AUUGAACGCUGGCGGCAGGCCUAACACAUGCAAGUCGAACGAGUGGCGGACGGGUGAGUAAUGUCUGGGAAACUGCCUGAUGGAGGGGGAUAACUACUGGAAACGGUAGCUAAUACCGCAUACCAUCGGAUGUGCCCAGAUGGGAUUAGCUCGUAGGUGGGGGAACGUCUCACCUAGGCGACGAUCCCUAGCUGGUCUGAGAGGAUGACCAGCCAAACUGUAACUGAGACACGGUCCAGACUCCUACGGGAGGCAGCAGUGGGGAAUAUUGCGCAAGGGGCGCGAGCCUGGUGCAGCCAUGCCGCGUGUAUGAAGAAGGCCUUAGGGGUGGAAAGUACUUUCAGCGGGGAGGCGUUACCCGCAGAAGAAGCACCGGCUAACUCCGUGCCAGCAGCCGCGGUAAUUC
rnacentral:rRNA from 1 species